rnacentral:rRNA from 1 species
GAGUUUGGUGAUGGCUCUGAUUGAAUGCUGUCCAAGUGCUUGACACAUGCUAAUCGUACGUUUUAAUUAGUAAUUUAUUACUUAAAUUAAAAAGUGGUGUACAGGUGAGUAUAAUGGUAUUCUUAGCCGGCCUUAAAGUGAAGGUAAAUCCUUCAUAAUACAUAAAGGAAUAUAAAAUUCUGCUUUAAGAGGACAACAAAUAUCUUCGGGAUAGGUAGUAGUUAAGGUGAUGGCUUAACUAGCUUAAAAUUCUCGUAGUCGAAGCUGAAAGGUUGAUCGACCACAUUGGGUCUGAAAAAACCCCAAUGCAAGUUAGUACAGCAGUGAGGAAUCUUGGUCAAUGGCCUAACGGCUGAACUGGCAACUUGGAGAAGUGGCAAGUCUUAUUUUUGAUUAUAAUUUUAGAUAAUCUAUAAGAUUGUAUUAAAAUUGAAUAAAACUUUGUUUAUAUAUUGAUAAUGACAAUAUAUAUAUCGUGUCUUGACUAAUUACGUGCCAGCAGUCGCGGUAAUACGUAAGAGACUAGUGUUAUUCAUCUUAAUUAGGUUUAAAGGGUCCCUAGACGGUCAAUAUAGCUUCUAGAAUGUUAGUACUUGACUAGAGUUUGAUGUAAGGGGGCAGUACUUGAGGAGGAGAGAUGAAAUUCUAUUAUACCAAAGGGACUCGGUAAAGGCGAAGGCAGCCCUUUAUGUAAAAACUGACGUUGAAGGACGAAGGCACAGAGCACAAACAGGAUUAGAUACCCAAGUAGUCUUUGCAGUAAAUGAUGAAUGCCAUAGGUUAGAUUAUAGUUUAAUAAAUUAGUUUAUCAGUAGUAAAUUAAUUGUAUUAAAUAGUAUUUAGUCUAUAAAUGAAAGUGUAAGCAUUCCACCUCAAGAGUAAUGUGGCAACGCAGGAACUGAAAUCACUAGACCGUUUCUAACACCAGUAGUGAAGUAUGUUGUUUAAUUCGAUGAUCCACGAAAAACCUUACCACAAUUUGAAUAUUUUACAGGAGUUGCACGGCUGUUUUCAGUUAAUGUUGUGAAACUGUGGUUUCCAUGGAAUUAACGCAAUCCUUGACUUUAUUUUUUAUUUUUAUUACGAUAAAGUAUUUGAUCCAACAUUUGGAGAAAAAAAGGGGACAAAGACAAGUCAUCAUGGCCUGCUGAAUGAUCUAGGAAAUCAUGAUCGUGGGAUAAACUAUCAAACUCCGGGGACACCCUAAAGUUUCUGGUACUAAGCUAUAUAUGAAAAUAUACUAG